GCACCUUCCGAUACGGCUACCUUGUUACGACUUUACCCCAGUCAUGAACCCUGCCGUGGCAGUCGCCCUCCUUGCGGUUAGGCUAACGGCUUCUGGUAAAACCCACUCCCAUGGUAUGACGGGCGGUGUGUACAAGACCCGGGAACGUAUUCACCGCGACAUUCUGAUCCGCGAUUACUAGCGAUUCCAGCUUCACGUAGUCGAGUUGCAGACUACGAUCCGGACUACGAUGCAUUUUCUGAGAUUAGCUCCCCCUCGCGGGUUGGCAACCCUCUGUAUGCACCAUUGUAUGACGUGUGAAGCCCUACCCAUAAGGGCCAUGAGGACUUGACGUCAUCCCCACCUUCCUCCGGUUUGUCACCGGCAGUCUCUUUAGAGUGCUCUUGCGUAGCAACUAAAGACAAGGGUUGCGCUCGUUGCGGGACUUAACCCAACAUCUCACGACACGAGCUGACGACAGCCAUGCAGCACCUGUGUUCACUUUCCCUUACGGGCACCUAAUGUAUCUCUACUUCGUUAGUGACAUGUCAAGGGUAGGUAAGGUUUUUCGCGUUGCAUCGAAUUAAUCCACAUCAUCCACCGCUUGUGCGGGUCCCCGUCAAUUCCUUUGAGUUUAAUCUUGCGACCGUACUCCCCAGGCGGCUGACUUCACGCGUUAGCUACGUUA
rnacentral:rRNA from 1 species